ACUCCUAAAAGAUAAUAGACAUCUAUUGGUCUUAGGAACCAAAAAUUCUUGGUGCAACUCCAAGUAAGAGUA
rnacentral:tRNA from 1 species